rnacentral:ncRNA from 1 species
GGGGAUAACAGGCUUAUCUCCCCCAAGAGUCCAUAUCGACGGGGAGGUUUGGCACCUCGAUGUCGGCUCAUCACAUCCUGGGGCUGUAGCAGGUCCCAAGGGUUUGGCUGUUCGCCAAUUAAAGUGGUACGUGAGCUGGGUUUAAAACGUCGUGAGACAGUUUGGUCCUUAUCUGUUGCGGGCGCAGGAUAUUUGAGGAGAUCUUUCCCUAGUACGAGAGGACCGGGAUGGACGAACCUAUGGUGUACCAGUUGUUCCGCCAGGAGCAUCGCUGGGUAGCUAUGUUCGGCAGGGAUAACCGCUGAAAGCAUCUAAGCGGGAAGCCUACUUCAAGAUAAGAUAUCCCAUGGCGUAAAGUCAUCUGAAGGCUCGUGGUAGACCACCACGUCGAUAGGUCGGGUGUGGAAGUGCAGUAAUGCAUGCAGCUUACCGAUACUAAUCAGCCGUGCGGCUUAUCCAU